rnacentral:lncRNA from 1 species
UCCAGCCUAUGAACUCAUCAGCCAAGUCUAUCUCUCUUCAUUUCUUCUUCACAUCAGCCAAACAGGUACAUUGUUCUGCAGUUUUGGACAGUAUUAGCUGAGCUUAAUGGUGGGAGACAGCCCAGGAAAGGUCUUGGUGGUGGCGUUGUUGGCGGGGUUUCUUUGUUUAACUUUCAUUGGAUUAUCCAAUCGAGAUACUAAAAUGGUUGCAGUUCCAUCAACCACAAAUUUCAAGCUUAAUUCGGUUAGCAAGAGAAGAGUGCCUACUGGACCUGAUCCCAUUCACAACAGGUAUGUCUAAUUAAGAUGCCAAGGAUAUGUUUAGUAUACUGAACUAGUCGAUAAAUGUGUACAAUACUGUUUAGUUCAGCGUACCAAACAUAAGUCUUGUAAUUUGUACGAGAUAAUGUAUGAUAAUUUAAUGAUCACGUGUGUGCGAUAAUUUUUGCUUCUAUUCUAAUUAAAGUGACAAUGUUACCUUCAGGGGAACGAGGAAUUCUAUAGAACCAUCUAUGCAAGGUUAAGUUUGGCAUGUAAGAUUAGACACAAGCGGUAUAAUUCAGUUAUCAACCUGCUCAAACCUCGUCUUGUUGGAGUUUGUGUAGAGUUUUUCAUAUACUAUCCUGCUCGAGAAUUUCUAGAUUGAAUGUUUAAUUAAGGUUCUAUGUUUAUCGUACCAAGAAAUAUUAGAACUAGGUCGUCUGUAUUCAUGUAAAACAGUUCGAGAAAGUAGUUAAUACUUUCAAAGGUUGUUAAAUUGUUAUCAAAUUCUGGGGAUUCUGCUUUAGAUACCCUUUGAAGGGAAUCAAAUGGAAUUUUG